UGCUAUCUGCAGUCGAGCGGACAGAAGGGAGCUUGCUCCCGGAUGUUAGCGGCGGACGGGUGAGUAACACGUGGGUAACCUGCCUGUAAGACUGGGAUAACUCCGGGAAACCGGAGCUAAUACCGGAUAGUUCCUUGAACCGCAUGGUUCAAGGAUGAAAGACGGUUUCGGCUGUCACUUACAGAUGGACCCGCGGCGCAUUAGCUAGUUGGUGAGGUAACGGCUCACCAAGGCGACGAUGCGUAGCCGACCUGAGAGGGUGAUCGGCCACACUGGGACUGAGACACGGCCCAGACUCCUACGGGAGGCAGCAGUAGGGAAUCUUCCGCAAUGGACGAAAGUCUGACGGAGCAACGCCGCGCGAGUGAUGAAGGUUUUCGGAUCGUAAAGCUCUGUUGUUAGGGAAGAACAAGUGCAAGAGUAACUGCUUGCACCUUGACGGUACCUAACCAGAAAGCCACGGCUAACUACGUGCCAGCAGCCGCGGUAAUACGUAGGUGGCAAGCGUUGUCCGGAAUUAUUGGGCGUAAAGGGCUCGCAGGCGGUUUCUUAAGUCUGAUGUGAAAGCCCCCGGCUCAACCGGGGAGGGUCAUUGGAAACUGGGAAACUUGAGUGCAGAAGAGGAGAGUGGAAUUCCACGUGUAGCGGUGAAAUGCGUAGAGAUGUGGAGGAACACCAGUGGGUGAAGGCGACUCUCUGGUCUGUAACUGACGCUGAGGAGCGAAAGCGUGGGGAGCGAACAGGAUUAGAUACCCUGGUAGUCCACGCCGUAAACGAUGAGUGCUAAGUGUUAGGGGGUUUCCGCCCCUUAGUGCUGCAGCUAACGCAUUAAGCACUCCGCCUGGGGAGU
rnacentral:rRNA from 1 species